rnacentral:rRNA from 1 species
AGAGUUUGAUCAUGGCUCAGAACGAACGCUGGCGGCAGGCCUAACACAUGCAAGUCGAGCGCGCCCUUCGGGGUGAGCGGCGGACGGGUUAGUAACGCGUGGGAACGUACCCAGAUCUACGGAAUAGCCUUUGGAAACGAAGAGUAAUACCGUAUACGCCCUUCGGGGGAAAGAUUUAUCGGAUUUGGAUCGGCCCGCGUUAGAUUAGAUAGUUGGUGGGGUAAUGGCCUACCAAGUCUACGAUCUAUAGCUGGUUUUAGAGGAUGAUCAGCAACACUGGGACUGAGACACGGCCCAGACUCCUACGGGAGGCAGCAGUGGGGAAUCUUAGACAAUGGGCGCAAGCCUGAUCUAGCCAUGCCGCGUGAGUGAUGAAGGCCUUAGGGUCGUAAAGCUCUUUCGCCAGGGAUGAUAAUGACAGUACCUGGUAAAGAAACCCCGGCUAACUCCGUGCCAGCAGCCGCGGUAAUACGGAGGGGGUUAGCGUUGUUCGGAAUUACUGGGCGUAAAGCGCGCGUAGGCGGACCAGAAAGUUGGGGGUGAAAUCCCGGGGCUCAACCCCGGAACUGCCUCCAAAACUCCUGAUCUAGAGUUCGAGAGAGGUGAGUGGAACUCCGAGUGUAGAGGUGAAAUUCGUAGAUAUUCGGAAGAACACCAGUGGCGAAGGCGGCUCACUGGCUCGAUACUGACGCUGAGGUGCGAAAGUGUGGGGAGCAAACAGGAUUAGAUACCC